rnacentral:rRNA from 1 species
CCUACGGGAGGCAGCAGUGAGGAAUAUUGGUCAAUGGCCGGAAGGCUGAACCAGCCAUGCCGCGUGAAGGUCAGUGCCCUAUGGGCGUUAAACUUCUUUUGUGCGGGAGCAAUAAUGGUCACGUGUGGCCAGACGAGAGUACCGUACGAAUAAGCAUCGACUAACUGCGUGCCAGCAGGCGCGGUAAUACGGGGGAUGCAAGCGUUAUCCGGAUUUAUUGGGUUUAAAGGGUGCGUAGGCUGUGAGGUAAGUCAGCGGUGAAAUGCCCCCGCUCAACGGGGUGAAGUGCCAUUGAUACUGCCUUGCUGGAAUGCGGAUGCGGUGGGAGGAAUGUGUGGUGUAGCGGUGAAAUGCAUAGAUAUCACACAGAACACCGAUUGCGAAGGCAUCUCACGAAUCCGCGAUUGACGCUGAUGCACGAAAGCGUGGGUAUCAAACAGGAUUAGAUACCCCAGUAGUC